UAACUAUAUAAGGACCAAGUUAGAGAGAGGUUGUCAUAAAUUAUGAUUUUGAUGGAGGUAGAGAGAGAAGCUCUCAAGAAAGAAAGAUAAAGAGAAAGUUAGAGAAAAGAAGAGAAAGAAUGAAGAGGAAAGCUAAGUAGAGGGGAAGAUUGAAGAAGAGCUAGGAGAUGAAGGGCUAGAGAAUCCAACAUCAAUAAGGUUCUCAGGUCGUGUGUUCGAGUAUUGGUGAAGCUCCGCUCUGAUUAUGACACGGGAAAAGGGGGUUUUAUAUAUGUAGAGUCCUCUAGUCUUAAUUAUUUUGUAUAAUUAAUAAUACUUUAUUUAAUUCAAAGAUUUGUUUAAACUCGUAUUCUACCAAUUAAUGUUAUUAGUAAGGUUUUGAAGUAA